GUCCCUUCAGGGACAUCCGAUAAAAUUGGAACGAUACAGAGAAGAUUAGCAUGGCCCAAUCGAGAAAUGGUCCAAAUUUUU
rnacentral:snRNA from 2 species